GAGUCGGGUUGUUUGGGAAUGCAGCCCUAAGUGGGUGGUAAACUCCAUCCAAGGCUAAAUACUAGCNCGAGUCCGAUAGCGAAGAAGUACCGCGAGGGAAAGUUGAAAAGAACUUUGAAGAGAGAGUUCAAGAGUACGUGAAACCGCUGAGAGGCAAACUGGUGGAGCUGAAAUGGCUUCGAGGAAUUCAGCCGUUGGGUUUUGUCAUAAUCCUCUGUGUCUGAUCUCACGACAGCGCAGUUGGUUAACGUCGAUUCCAUAGGUGCACUUUCCUCGUUAGCCCAACCACGACCGGUGAAUAUUCGAUUGUCUAUCGUGUUUGGAAGGUAGCGCCGGCUUCGGUCUGCGUAUUAUAGACAGACAUAUAGAGUGAUUGGUUCACUGGGCGAUAACGCCUGCCUAUUAAGGCUCAUACGUUGGCUGUCUUGUGAAUACUCUCUGAUUUCACUACUUCGGUAGGGGAGUUGGAAUUAUUUGCCUUACGGUCGGCCUCUGUGAUUGGCGUUGGUUUAGUCUGUGGUUGUGAAGUAGGUAGUCCACCUGACCCGUCUUGAAACACGGACCAAGGAGUCUAACAUGUGCGCGAGUCAUUGGGUUCAUACGAAACCUAAAGGCGCAGUGAAGGUGAAGAUCCACUUAUGGUGGAUUGAGGUGGGAUGCUGGGCUACGUACUCAGCCGCACUACCGGCCCGUUCCACAUGUAUCUCAUGGGAGCGGAGCAAGAGCGUACACGUUGGGACCCGAAAGAUGGUGAACUAUGCUUGCGCAGGUCGAAGCCAGAGGAAACUCUGGUGGAGGACCGCAGCGAUUCUGACGUGCAAAUCGAUCGUCAAACGUGAGUAUAGGGGCGAAAGACUAAUCGAACCAUCUAGUAGCUGGUUCCCUUCGAAGUUUCCCUCAGGAUAGCUGGCACUCGGGAACUUAAACAGUUUUAUCCGGUAAAG
rnacentral:rRNA from 1 species